CCAGAGGCUCCUUGGACCUUUCAAGGCCACCAGGAUGAGGCAAGAAGCCAAGAAGGUUCCUUUCGGCCUUAUAUAAUGGAUGUCUUGAACUCGGUUCCUCAAACUGCGCAGUGUGUUCUUGUCUGCCCUGAAAGCCUGCGAUUUCUCAGCUGCUAGUCUUCCAAAGCUGUCUCUCCAUACAAAAGGCAUUCCAAUGGAGCAGAGCUUGUUUCUUGGUAAUCGAAGGCCACGUCUGCUUCAGGUCUGGCUACUUACAUUCUGCUUUCUUCUUUGCUUCGGGACUGGAGCAGAUGCUGUGAAAUGCAGAAAAUGCCUGUCAACUGGUCCUGGCAAGCCAUGUAAACCAAAAGAUUUGACAUGUAAUGGGCCAUACUGUGUAAUGACAGAAAGAUUGGCAGGUCCAAAUAAGCAGUUGCAGACCCUCAAAUUUUGUGGCGAAGCUCAGUAUAAAAAAUUCUGCGGAACGAAAAAGGGAGAUAAAUUUAAAGUGCAAUGCUGUGAAACUGACAUGUGUUUUGACUGAUUUUACUGUUCUAUUCUUCUAUUGUUUUAACCCAUCCAGAAACCUCAUGGUAAAGGGUGGGUAGCCAAUCUUUCUCCUUCUCUUUCACUUUUCUCCUUUGAAAAACAUAAUAUUAGAACAUUUCAUAUCCUUUGCUUUUGACGGAUGUCUGGUCUUCCUCCUGCCAUUGCAAUUCAAAUGACAGAGCAAACACAGAAAAGGAACAAACCCCAAUUGUCACAACUUUGGUUGUUUAGGCAUUGGGUAGCCUUAGCCUUGGUUGGAGGGGGGGUUGUCCCCUGGCCUUCCACUCAAGAAAUAGGGUAUGCUGUUAAAGGGGUCCAUGAUGGAGUUGCUUCUGUCCAUUUGCCCAGAUGGGGGGAAGGGCUUGGGCCUCAGCGUUCCUAGGGGUGGGGAUCCCUGCAGGGAUCCCCCUCUUUGAUGUAAGUCAUGGGACUCCCCACUGCCGGGUUGACCCUGAUGUCAUUUCCGGUAGGCAGACCGGAAAUAAAUGCUUACCCAAUGCCUAUAGCCAAACCACUUCAUCUGUAGUCAAUAAAGUUGUGGCCUGAUUUGAUCUCAUUCCACUGUGUGGCCUCCUUUAUUGGUAGCUCACCUGAGCAGAGGAAGGGUGCACACCCUGGGCCUGUAGACUCCGGGAAGCUUCCAAGAGAAUAUAAAAAUACAUAAAACCAUCUGACAUUGAAAACUUCUCGAUACAGGACUGCCUUCAAAUGUCUCAAGGUCAGUCCUUAAUUGCCUUGUUAGAGCAUCCCAACCGAUACUCACAGUCAGGAUGGUCAGGGGGGAGGCUGGAGCCACUUCCAUCCAGACUCUCCUAGGUCAUGCCCAUCAGAUUCUUAAUUCAUCUCUUCCUGGAGCUCAUGGGUCACUGUUCUUCCCAACCCCUCCCUGGUUGUAGAGCUCAAAUGUUCUCUUUUCUCUUUCCUGACCUUUGCCAUGUAAUUGGAACAUAGCAAGGCUUUUAAGUAGUUUGGACUGGAGGGAGUUUUAGGUGGCCAAUCAAGAUAGAGAUCAAUAAUAAUAGUUAAAAUUACUGCUAAUUUUGCAUGCAGAAAAAA